AGGUGGUUGGACAAACACAGCCAUUGCAUCCUUCUAAUUUCAUGGAGCUCCAAAAGUGGCAUUUACAACAAUUUUGGCAGCAACAAAUGCUUGAAUUGGGAAACCUUGCAGAUUACAAGCAGCAUCAACUGCCACUUGCAAGGAUCAAACGUAUAAUGAAAUUGGAUGGGGCGGCAAAGAUGGUUAGCUCGGACACGCCGAUCAUAUUUGCAAAAGCAUGCGAGCUCUUCAUCUUGGAGCUCACGGUACGCUCAUGGCUCCAUGCCGAGCAGUGCAAGAGGCUCACCAUCCGAAGAACCGAUGUAGCAGGGGCCAUCUGCCAUGCAGACAUGCUUAAUUUCUUGGUCGACAUGCUUCGCCCAGAUGAG